GAUGAACGCUGGCGGCGUGCCUAAUACAUGCAAGUCGAGCGAACGGACGAGAAGCUUGCUUCUCUGAUGUUAGCGGCGGACGGGAGAGUAACACGUGGAUCACCUACCUAUAAGACUGGGAUAACUUCGGGAAACCGGAUCUAAUCCCGGAUAAUCUUUUGAACCGCAUUGUUCAAAAGUGAAAGACGGUCUUGCUGUCACGUCUAGAUGGAUCCGAGCUGCAUUAGCUAGUUGGUAAGGUAAAGGCUUACCAAGGCAACGAUGCAUAGCCGACCUGAGCGGGUGAUCGGCGACUCUGGAACUGAGACGCGGUCCAGACUCCUACGGGAGGCAGAGGUAGGGAAUCGUCCGCAAAGGGCGAAAGCCUGACGAAGCGACGCCGCGUGAGUGAUGAAGGUCUGCGGAUCGUAGAACUCUGUUAGUAGUGAAGAACAUAUGUGUAAGUAACUGAGCACAUCUGGACGGUACCGAAUCAGAAAGCCCCGGCUAACUACGU
rnacentral:rRNA from 1 species